CUCGCUGGGCGUUCAAUUUAACUUUUCUUAUAAACCCUCGUGGACUUCAUAUCAAGAUUUAUUCGACGUUUUUGGUGUUAACGCGACGAGCGCGAUUGAACUGGCGGCAGGGGAGGGGACGUACACUACAGUUGACCAAGAAAAACACUGUCGCUGUUUGAAGAUGAAAGCAGAUCUUUUGUUUUGGAAUGCGGUUCUUGGAAGGAUUUUGUCGCAACAGACGGGAAGCCAGCCUUUCCUUCCAUCUUCGGUGCAGUGUUUCCUGUACAAGUACCCGUUCCUUCCUCAUUACAUCUGAGGUGAGUUACCUCUUCGUCAUCUUCCUCAGAUUUAAUGGUAUGUUGGCCGUCUUCAGCCAGUUGAGUUGCAUGUUUAGAACGUGGUGGGCACUUGUUAUAUUUAUACCCUUUCCCGUUUCCCAAUUCCUGGUGUUUUCUUUCAUGGCUUCUCUUUGUGGCAAGGUAUAGAAAGCGCUGGGGACAAAAUGAGCAGUGGUACUUCUUCUCAGUGCUGCAUCUCUGCGGUGUGUUAUCGAAGCAGGAGCCGCUUUCCAUGCAGUUGUUGCAGACGUAAUCUCCACCGGCAGGCACCUCCCCGGGUGGACCCUGUUCUCCACACGUCCGACAGAAACACGGAUGGGAACCAAUUACAUGGGCCCUCAAGCCGGACUCUGUGAUGAAGGAGCUGUCGCAGAUGUCACAUUUGUAGGAGGCUCUUGGCGAACGGUUCCUGAUGUUGCAUUGUGUGUCCGUGCUGUUGGCUGAGGUACUAUUGUCUGUUGCCAGGCUUCUCCUCUCUGGGUAUCCCUCUUUGGCUGGAGCUCUGGCUACUGAAGUUGGAGGUUGCUUCAUGAUUUCCAAUUGAAUACAUCACAGAAAACAACAGGCAGCCAACUGCAUGCAGCCAAUUUUACAUAGACAGCAGUUGGUGAGUCAUCCGUUUCCGUUUUAAUAGCCCUUUCUUUCAAUCAUUACUGGUACACAGCAAAAGAGAAACAUUGAUUCUCCCACCCACAUAUCUGUAUCAGAUCAAACAGAUACAGCAAUGAACUUAAUAACAUACAAAAGUUGUUGUUAGUGAUUAACAUUGUGAUAACAAUGAAUUUAAAAGCCAUAGAUUAAUAGUUUGGGCCUUGAAGUCUACCGACCUUUACCUCACAGGAUGGUUGAUGGUCAAUUCUAAGCCAACGUGCCUGUAGUUUGACAAGGGUGUUUCAGCAGGUUAAAAUUGAUUCAUGUCUGAUUACGGUGGGCAGUGAGUCAGUUCUUGAGUGAAUCAUCGUGCCUCAAAUAAGAUAGACUGUUUCAUUAAAACAAUAAAGUUAUUUUUUGUGGUGAAGUAAUGAAGUUAAAAUAGACUCUCUGCAUUUCAUUUCACAAUCUUGAUGAAUAAGAUCACCCAUUGUGUAAUAUAUUGAUCCACAGGAUCACUCAUUUCAUUUUGGAUUUCACAAUGUUUUCAGAGUUAGUAAGAUGCUCAGCUUGAUGGAAUAGCCUUUUAUAGGGCGACACCUUGGUUAUAUUGAUUGAUAAAAUAAAAUAAAAACAAUUACUAUGCUUUUGUUAGUCCGCUUGAUAAAUAGAGUACCAGAUAUAAGUAAUUAAUCUGACAGCAUAAAUUUGGUUCUGGCAAAAAAGUCCCAAAACAUUUCUAAAGAUUGUUCUGAUAGAUGGAUACCUCAAUAUAAAAAAAAAACAACGAUAUUAAAUGCCAUCCAAUGUACAUUUUUAACAUUUUGGUUUCUAAAAUAUUUGUUAUUUUG